GUCUCCGUGGCUUAGUCGGGAGAACAUCCGACUGUGGUGUGGUAGGAAUCGGGUUCGAGCCCCGGUGAAGGCA